GCAGACUCACUCUGUUCUUUGCUGCUCACUCCAGCCUGGAACUUUUUCUGUCUGCUACAUGAACAUGCAGAAUGUAACACUUUACUGACUUUCUAAAAGGCCGGUGUCACUAUGUUCUGCUACAUUACA
rnacentral:snoRNA from 1 species